rnacentral:rRNA from 1 species
CAGUAGCCACGGGAAUACAGAGGGUGCGAGCGUUAAUCGGAUUUACUGGGCGUAAAGCGUGCGUAGGCGGCUUCUUAAGUCGGAUGUGAAAUCCCUGAGCUUAACUUAGGAAUUGCAUUCGAUACUGGGAAGCUAGAGUAUGGGAGAGGAUGGUAGAAUUCCAGGUGUAGCGGUGAAAUGCGUAGAGAUCUGGAGGAAUACCGAUGGCGAAGGCGGCCAUCUGGCCUAAUACUGACGCUGAGGUACGAAAGCAUGGGGAGCAAACAGGAUUAGAUACCCCAGUAGUCCCUGUCUCUUAUAC